rnacentral:rRNA from 1 species
AUUGAACGCUGGCGGCAGGCUUAACACAUGCAAGUCGAGCGGAGAGAGGUAGCUUGCUACUGAUCUUAGCGGCGGACGGGUGAGUAAUGCUUAGGAAUCUGCCUAUUAGUGGGGGACAACAUUUCGAAAGGAAUGCUAAUACCGCAUACGUCCUACGGGAGAAAGCAGGGGAUCUUCGGACCUUGCGCUAAUAGAUGAGCCUAAGUCGGAUUAGCUAGUUGGUGGGGUAAAGGCCUACCAAGGCGAUGAUCUGUAGCGGGUCUGAGAGGAUGAUCCGCCACACUGGGAGUGAGACACGGCCCAGACUCCUACGGGAGGCAGCAGUGGGGAAUAUUGGACAAUGGGCGGAAGCCUGAUCCAGCCAUGCCGCGUGUGUGAAGAAGGCCUUAUGGUUGUAAAGCACUUUAAGCGAGGAGGAGGCUACUUUAGUUAAUACCUAGAGAUAGUGGACGUUACUCGCAGAAUAAGCACCGGCUAACUCUGUGCCAGCCGCCGCAGUAAUAC